rnacentral:rRNA from 1 species
UGGAAACGGGGUCUAAUACCGGAUAUGACCACCGGCCGCAUGGUCUGGUGGUGGAAAGCUCCGGCGGUGCAGGAUGAGCCCGCGGCCUAUCAGCUUGUUGGUGGGGUGAUGGCCUACCAAGGCGACGACGGGUAGCCGGCCUGAGAGGGCGACCGGCCACACUGGGACUGAGACACGGCCCAGACUCCUACGGGAGGCAGCAGUGGGGAAUAUUGCACAAUGGGCGCAAGCCUGAUGCAGCGACGCCGCGUGAGGGAUGACGGCCUUCGGGUUGUAAACCUCUUUCAGCAGGGAAGAAGCGCGAGUGACGGUACCUGCAGAAGAAGCACCGGCUAACUACGUGCCAGCAGCCGCGGUAAUACGUAGGGUGCGAGCGUUGUCCGGAAUUAUUGGGCGUAAAGAGCUCGUAGGCGGCCUGUCGCGUCGGAUGUGAAAGCCCGGGGCUUAACCCCGGGUCUGCAUUCGAUACGGGCAGGCUAGAGUUCGGCAGGGGAGAUUGGAAUUCCUGGUGUAGCGGUGAAAUGCGCAGAUAUCAGGAGGAACACCGGUGGCGAAGGCGGAUCUCUGGGCCGAUACUGACGCUGAGGAGCGAAAGCGUGGGGAGCGAACAGGAUUAGAUACCCUGGUAGUCCACGCCGUAAACGUUGGGCACUAGGUGUGGGCGGCAUUCCACGUCGUCCGUGCCGCAGCUAACGCA